AUAAAAAAAGGCUAAAUAAGCUAAUGGAUUCAUACCCCAUACAUAAAGGUCCGACCCCUUUUCUUUUUA
rnacentral:tRNA from 1 species